CCCUUAGAUGUUCUGGGCCGCACACGCGCUACACUGAAGGAGGCAGCGUGUACUCCUGGAUCGAAAGAUUUGUGUAACCCGCGAAUCUCCUUCGUGCUAGGGAUUGAGGUUUGCAAUUAUCCUUCAUGAACGAGGAAUUCCCAGUAAGUGCAAGUCAUAAGCUUGCGCUGACUACGUCCCUGCCCUUUGUACACACCGCCCGUCGCUACUACCGAUUGAAUGAUUUAGUGAGGACUUCGGACUGGGACCGAUGCGGCUUUCGGGCUGCGUCGGUAUUCUGGAAAGAUGUCCAAACUGUAUCAUUUAGAGGAAGUAAAAGUCGUAACA
rnacentral:rRNA from 1 species